CCACAUGCACAAUUCUGGAGUGUUGCUGACAAGAAGAGGAAUUCCGCCAGCUUCGCGGAUUCUCGCUACAACGUCGGCGUCCUUUGUCGCCCUCGAAGGAACAUCUUUUACCCCCACAGAAUGACUCAUCCCUAGACAGACAAGCGUAUUGGAUUAUUACGUACCACGAAAAACAAUUUUGAAAUGCAAGAUCCAAACCGAGCGAGUAAUAUCCAACUACGUCCGUCACAGUCUAUGACUAUUUAUGACUGAUACGUCUGAAAGGAAGCAACUGGCAUCACACGGGUUUGAAGAAGCAAUAAGUGGGGCGAGCAAAGUGUUGAAGUGCGUGUCGACGGCAAUUUUCUUUUUAUCAUUUUCGACGCGUGUUUCUUACAAAUUUGGACAUUGUGAAUAUUCGUUGUUCAUUAAGCUUCUGUGAUGACAGUCAUGUGUAAUUUUUUUGAAGAUUAUAAUAUUUGAAUAUUUACGUCAUAAUUUUUUUCUAAAAUUGAUAAUUUUAAUAAUUAUAAUAUUUAAAGAAUAUUUAUGUAAAAAAUUGAUGUAUAUCCAACAUCUUACUCAUUGUCAGUACUUCAUCCAUGCUUUAAACAACUGAUAUCUUGAAAGCUUAAAUAUUACAAAAGCAGACUUUGCUUUCUGCGGACAUGAUAUGUGUUUCCGUCGACUUAACAAUUGAGAUACCGUAAUAUUUAGAGAAGAGAAAUUUUGUAUGAAAUGAAAAGUAGCACAUGAAUUCAAAAUGCUCGAAAAUCAACGAUAACAAAAAAAGAAGAAA